UACGUAGGGUGCGAGCGUUGUCCGGAAUUAUUGGGCGUAAAGAGCUUGUAGGCGGCCUGUCGCGUCUGCUGUGAAAAUCCGGGGCUCAACCCCGGACUUGCAGUGGGUACGGGCAGACUAGAGUGUGGUAGGGGAGACUGGAAUUCCUGGUGUAGCGGUGAAAUGCGCAGAUAUCAGGAGGAACACCGGUGGCGAAGGCGGGUCUCUGGGCCGAAAUUGACGCUGAGGAGCGAAAGCGUGGGGAGCAAACAGG
rnacentral:rRNA from 1 species